rnacentral:rRNA from 1 species
GCAGUCGCCACGGGAAUACGAAGGGGGCUAGCGUUGUUCGGAAUUACUGGGCGUAAAGCGCACGUAGGCGGAUAUUUAAGUCUGGGGUGAAAUCCCAGAGCUCAACUCUGGAACUGCCUUUGAUACUGGGUAUCUUGAGUAUGGAAGAGGUGAGUGGAAUUCCGAGUGUAGAGGUGAAAUUCGUAGAUAUUCGGAGGAACACCAGUGGCGAAGGCGGCUCACUGGUCCAUUACUGACGCUGAGGUGCGAAAGCGUGGGGAGCAAACAGGAUUAGAUACCCGCGUAGUCCCUGUCUCUUAUAC